GUGGGGGGUCCCCUUCAAAAUGCUGGAUUUCCGUACUUGGCCCAUAUCCAUAGCUAUAUCUCAGCCAAUUCUCAUCCGAUUCAUGAGCGGAAUACCUUAAACGAAUUUGCAUCAAAAUCCAGAAUUUAAAUAUACUUGAUACAGGGGUAGACAGAAUAUCGAUUUGCCGUUAAAGUAGCUGCUGCGGAUGCGGAUCCUGAUGCUGAUGCGAAUGCGAAUGUGGAUGUGGAUGUGGAUGCUGUGGUACGCAUAAAUACAAAGAAAGCCAGAAGGCGGAAGGCAGGAAAGAAAGGACGCAGGACGAAGGACAGGCUUCAAAUUUGCAUGGUGGAGGGAGGAGGAGGAGGAUGAGGGCCAUCAUUGUUAGUGUCAUUUGUUGUUGUUGUGUCUGGCACGUGUCGCAAGGAAUUUAGAUAGCAGAAAAUUUCAUUGAACUCAAUUGGAGGCGGCGGUGGUGGAGGUGGAGGUGGAGGUGGAGGAGUGGCAGUGUACGAUACAAUAACCGCAACCUGAUUGAAAUCACAACAACUGCAAUCGCGAGGGGUGGCUAAUGAGUUUUCGCCUCGGCCCACAUCCCCACAUACUCGUAUUUCUUUCUCCGCAAAGGCAAGUGCGUUGCAUUCUUAAUUACAGCAUCAAGUACAAUGGAAAAAAUUACAAAGCAAUUAAGAGAUAUUAAAAUAUUUACUAUU